ACCAGAGGCAGGACCUGAGGCCAGGGCAAGCUGGGUGGGGGGUGGUGGAGCUCCUGCUUGAUUCUCUCACCUGCCCCUCUUUGGGAGCAGGUUAUGUCCCUGGCCUUUCAGACCUGAGCAGAGAGGGGAUUUCAAGUCAGGUGGCACCUGUACAGUCUACGGAAUAAGCGCUGUCCUGAAGCUAAUGAGACACUUUGUUUACUGAACCAUGUUUCCUGGAAUAUGAUGCUGAGCAGAGACUGGCCUAUGUGAUCAACUGAUGGACUCACAGAAAGAACAAUUUUAUAACCUGGGAAAGAAUGGGACUGAGCUGACCUCUCCGUAUGUCCUGGGGAGAUUUUAGAGGAUGCACAGAAACACAUGAUUGUCUGGAGUUAGCCCCAUCGCAGGCUGCUGAGAAAGACAGCUGCAGACUAUCUUGAGCUAAAAUCACAAUGUUAGCUCACCAAGAGACACUUGCUGCCAACCCAGCUGGCCUGAGAUCUGGAAUUCACACUGCCUCUGUGGCAGACAUUGGCCCACCUGUUUUCUCUGGCUCAGAGUGCAAGGAUUCAUCACUUAGCUGCCCUCAAUGGGACUAAGAAGAUAAUACAAAGCGGUUGGAGGACGAGGGUUGCACAGCUCAAAGGGCUGAGUUUACAGGUUAAUAAAAAUAUCCAAUGAGCCUUUACUCUCUAUGCCAAGCACCACUUGGCAUUUUCUAUUUCUCAUAAAAAUCUUGGAGACAAGAUGGACUCAGCAC
rnacentral:lncRNA from 1 species